GCACCGAAGCUGCGGCAGCGACGCUUAUGCGUUGUUGGGUAGGGGAGCGUUCUGUAAGCCUGCGAAGGUGUGCUGUGAGGCAUGCUGGAGGUAUCAGAACUGCGAAUACCGGAGAAUGUUAUCACGGGAGACACACGGCGGGUGCUAACGUCCGUCGUGAAGAGGGAAACAACCCAGACCGCCAGCUAAGGUCCCAAAGUCAUGGUUAAGUGGGAAACGAUGUGGGAAGGCCCAGACAGCCAGGAUGUUGGCUUAGAAGCAGCCAUCAUUUAAAGAAAGCGUAAUAGCUCACUGGUCGAGUCGGCCUGCGCGGAAGAUGUAACGGGGCUAAACCAUGCACCGAAGCUGCGGCAGCGACGCUUAUGCGUUGUUGGGUAGGGGAGCGUUCUGUAAGCCUGCGAAGGUGUGCUGUGAGGCAUGCUGGAGGUAUCAGAA
rnacentral:rRNA from 1 species